rnacentral:rRNA from 1 species
UACGUAGGGUGCAAGCGUUGUCCGGAAUUAUUGGGCGUAAAGAGCUUGUAGGCGGUUUGUCGCGUCUGCUGUGAAAUUUCGGGGCUCAACCCCGAACUUGCAGUGGGUACGGGCAGACUAGAGUGUGGUAGGGGAGACUGGAAUUCCUGGUGUAGCGGUGAAAUGCGCAGAUAUCAGGAGGAACACCUAUGGCGAAGGCAGCACUCUGGGACGGUACUGACGCUGAGACGCGAAAGCGUGGGGAGCGAACAGG